CUCACACAAGGCCUAGAGUAAUGUUUGCUUCAUGUUCAACCACAUGUUGUGGUCGCAAACAUCCAGGAAACACAACAGCAACGUCCAUUUGGAGCCGUGUUUCUGCCCACCUGUUGAACUGAGCCGGGCCUCGGGCUGCCAGAGGACGACGAGCCAAGGCCACCAUCAGCUCCCAGUGGUUAGAACAACCCAGUAAACUCUCCUGAGAACCGAGCCAGCGCUGGCAGAGAACCAGCCAGAGAUGGUGAAGACAGAGAGAGAUGAGAGAAAUGAGAGCGAGGCAGUCCCUUUAUCCUCCGUGUUAUCCAUCCUGCUCGUUAUUUUCUUCGACCAGCUGAUAGAAAACAACAGUGAUUCAGCCAAAUGGUUCAUAUACCAGCAUGGGAUUGUUUAAGAAGCCACAUGAUGACUGAAUGGACGAGUGUGUGAUCGUCCUCGCUGCAGUCCGGCGUCUCUCGGGGCCACGUCGAGCAUUUGCAUAACAAGCCGUCCUCAUGACAGCAACGCCGCGACAGAUGUCAGGCCUGCGAGCAAAGUUUUUGACAGUUUUUGUUCCGGCUGUUUCUCCGUUUUUUUCCUGCAGCCGUUGUAAUUU
ensembl:lncRNA